ensembl:lncRNA
AACCCUAACACUCAGCAUCAAUCGACUUUUGGUGAUGGUGGUGUCAAACGGAUCGGAGGUGAUCAAGCUUCCUUCUUCUGAGGGCAGACUGCCAGUACCAAAGUGGUGUUGCUAUGGAGAAUUCCAAGUACAGUGUUGGACAAUCACGGCCUUUUAACCUCUGCCAUGGACAGUAACUACAGCCAGCAUGUCGUCCAUGCUUUAACCAAGAAACGGGCAUAGCAUGGAAAGCAGUGCUCCAUUGGAAGGUGAAAAGCCAUCACCUUCAAGAGGAGGAAGGCAAUGACAAGAUCAACCACAGUCCAGGAUGGUUGUGUUAAAGCCAUGUUGUCCCUGCUCCAACGUCCUGGAGUCUAUGGGCUGGAGGCAACGCUUUAAGAGUUUUAACAAAUGUGGAAUUGCAAUGUUUGGACGUCUGGAGGUCUAUAUCCUAUGUACCACACGGUACAAAAUGUGCUGGAAUUAAAAAAAAAAAAAAAAAGAAAAGGAGUAAUAAUACUUUAACUGACUGGUCUUAGGGAGAAAUCACACAGUUUCAGGCUGUUAGACACUAAUAAGUUACUAAAAAAUCUUACACUUAUUCUUACAUUUCAUAUUAUGGUUGAAAGCUUCUGCUUGUUAACAUGAAUCUCUCCAUUGCAAAGUAUUCAGAUGUUAAAUACCAAGAAAAUAUGACUACGUUUUAGAACUAAGUGUUAGCCUGAAAUGCACAGGGCACACUUUGGCCUUACUGCCUACAUCUUUCUGUGCACUGCAGUAGAUAUUAUUUCACUUUUUAUAUAAGCUACAAUUCAAGUUCCCCCCCUCAAAGAUAUUUCAGCCUUUACUUAGUACCUCAUUAUUUUAAUAUAUUCAAUUGAAAGCAGCAAAUAUGAGCACAGGAGCAGCAGCAAAGAAAUGCCAAGGUGCUUCCUGCACGCUCCACACCAUCACUCAGCUUGUCUGUGUCCUCAUUCUUGUGUUAAAGGGAGGUGUGGCAAGGCUUCUCCAUGAGCAAGGCUUUCCCCAUGCUUUGAAGAGCUCAAAGAGAACUGGGAUUUGGCUUGGAGAGACGAUGUGCUCCCACAGCUCUGUUUUGGUCAUUUUUUCUCUUUUAGGCUAAGAGACAAACUAACUCACCCAUUGUGUAGCUGCUGAGGUCUCCAGAUAAAGUGCUAUAAGAGUGCCACACACUAUUAUUCUUUUAUUAUGGAGCAGCCGUAGCUUUUCAAGAGUUAUUGUGGAUUUUUAUAUGUUUUCCUAUUGCCUUUUGUCUUCUAGUAGCAGUCCUGUGGUUUUGAGAGCUU